rnacentral:rRNA from 1 species
GAUGAACGCUAGCGGCAGGCUUAACACAUGCAAGUCGAGGGGCAGCGUGAGGGUUAGCAAUAACCCUUGACGGCGACCGGCGCAAGGGUGCGUAACGCGUGAGCAACUUGCCCUUAUCAGGGGGAUAACCGGUGGAAACGCCGACUAAUACCCCAUGGCAUUGAGUUGAGGCAUCUCUACUCAAUUAAAGAAUUUCGGAUAAGGAUAGGCUCGCGUGACAUUAGCUAGACGGCGGGAUAACGGCCCACCGUGGCUACGAUGUCUAGGGGUUCUGAGAGGAAGGUCCCCCACACUGGAACUGAGACACGGUCCAG